UACGAAGGGGGCUAGCGUUGCUCGGAAUCACUGGGCGUAAAGCGCACGUAGGCGGCUUCUUAAGUCAGGGGUGAAAUCCUGGAGCUCAACUCCAGAACUGCCUUUGAUACUGGCGAUCUUGAGUCCGGGAGAGGUGAGUGGAACUGCGAGUGUAGAGGUGAAAUUCGUAGAUAUUCGCAAGAACACCAGUGGCGAAGGCGGCUCACUGGCCCGGUACUGACGCUGAGGUGCGAAAGCGUGGGGAGCAAACAGGAUUAAGAA
rnacentral:rRNA from 1 species